UGACGUCCCAUUCAGGUACAAGAGAAGUCUCUCCACCAUGCGCCAGUGAUGAUCCUUUGGGACUUGCAUGUUGAACUGAAGAGAAGAUGGAGCUUGUACAAUAAUAGGGCAAGCUCUAGAAGAUGUCCAGAAGAGUUCAAUCAAGCUUCAGAAGUUAUUAGAAGCUGAUGCAAAGAAGAGACAAGAUCUAAGAAGUGUCUUGAAGGUGUAUACAAGACAUUGGAGGAGUUUGGGAGAUUAUGGUUGAUGGUGCAAAGAUAGGGAUCGGCCUGUACGGACGGACGUACGGAUGGUACGGACCGUACGGACAUGAUCAACCCAAAACUUAUCAGGUAGACCAUUUGAGCACAUUUGAGGAAUGUGCAAUCUUAGGGCACAAGGUGUACGGUCAUGACAUCCGUACAGCCAAGUCUGAUCAUGUCUUGGGAGACAAGGCAAGGAGAAGGGCGUGUGAGACUAUCCAAGGGAGAAAGAUCCAUUUGGUAUAUUCAAAGAUGCCUUAGGAAGCAACCAGGAAGGUGCCUUUCUCUCCAGCUCACACAGACCAAUCACAGCCAAGUAUUCAGUCCACAAGACAGCUCAUGACAGCCUGUAAAGGCCAGACUCGCCAAAGACUCCCAUUGGCCAAGCAUGUGAUGAUUCUGGUCCAUAGAAUUCAAAUGGGCGCUCCCCUUUAUGCUGACUUCACAUGCUUAGGUUAUCUGAUGAAUUCAGCCUCCAUUUAUGUAUUUAAGCUUCUUGUAAACAAUUGAAAACAUUAAGUGAGUAUGGGGGAUUUCCCCUCUCCUUCUCUAAUCUCUAAACACUUAUUCUCUUAGUCACUCAGUCUCUUAAUCUCAUUCUCUUUAGUCUCUUAAACACUUAAACACUCUCACCCAUCUCUGUUCUUAAAUCACCUAGAACUAAGCUCUCAUCUUUCUCCAUUGGAGUUUAUACACACAUACACACAACCAGAGUAGAGAUCUCUUUAAAAAUCAUAUGGUAUCAGAGCCAGGUUCAUUAGAACUUGGUUCUUGCUUCUGCUGAAGCUCAUAGCUCUCCUCCAUCUCGCUUGAAGCCAAGAAGAAGCUCCAUGGUCCAGCCGGCUGUUCUACUCUUCAAGAAGAAGGUGUGCUCAUCCAUGGUGUCCAGAAGCUGUCUCUGGCCGACCUACACUCUCUCAUGAAGCCCAUGAAGAAGAAAGAACCUUGGAAGCAAUGGUGUAUGAGGCGAUCUCAUCAACCAAGCUUCAAAGCUAUGUCCAAGCUAGGUCUUAUCCACUGUCCAAGAAGAAAGGUGAUAGCUUUCAGCUGGUACUGAUGUGGCGAACUCAACAUGAAGAAAGGUGGGGUCUUUGACAUGGAGAGUUCAAGAGAAAGGUCCAUGGGAGAAGGAGAAGUUGGAAUCGACACCAACAGCUCACUGUCUUGCCAUGUUCUAUGGAGUUUCAAGGAACUAACACUAGUUCCUUGGCUGUUCACAAAAGGUGUUCCUAGUUCAUCAUCAACUCCGAGUUUAAAGAGAAAGAAUGGUGUCCAUUGUGUGUGCAAUGGAGAAUUACUACAAGAAGGGUGAAGCGCAGAUGGUUGUGAAACCCACUUGAAGCUUACUGGUCUUCCUACUACCAUUGCAAGUAACUGAAGAAGAAGCCAACUGGGUCUAGGCAGUGGCGUGCCUAUUCAAGAGGGUGCUCAAACUAAGACAGGGCACUCUUGGCUGUGUGAAGAAGAAGGCUACUCUAUCAAGGCGGCUUCUAUUGUGAGGUGAUUGAAGAAGCAGCUGAAGCAUCCACAAGCAUUCCAUCAUGGUGGUGAAUUCAGAAGGGUGAUUGCAAUAAGAGAAGAAGAAGAAGUAAGGAUUCAAGUGGUAACAUUGAGAACCACUACUCAUCAUCUUAACCAAGGGAGUAAACCUAAUCUCAUCUAUCUUAAUAUGUCUUGAUAGGUUUAUCUCCUGACUAUACUAUGUGCUUUCCCUAAAUCCAUUAAGAGUUGAUAGCUUCUAGUAGAGUGUCUAGGCUAAUUGCACUGAAAUUGUUUUGCUGCUGCAUUAUCUUAUUGAUAGUAAGUAAUGUCUAGAGUCCCAGAAUCUCAUGGUCUGUUUAUUGCAUUAUCUUGGGUGUUGUCAUAAGCUUGAAUCAUCAUGAAUGUGUUGUAGAAUUGAGUAGAAUGUCUCUGCUACUUGCAUCAUGAUGGAUAAGUUAUUUUGCAUACAUAAGCAUAUCUCAUACUGUCUAAGUUCAAUCCUAGUGUUAUCUGGUGCUAGUGCCUAUGUUUAAUCCAUCAAUGAAAGUCUUGCAUCAAUUAGAAAUUGUCUAAGUUGCUUGCAUCAUUGGUUCUGAUUGAAACUGUUGUGCAUAGCUUUAAUAUAAAUCAUGGAUUGAACCUGUUGCAUUCAUAUAGCUAAUGCUUUAAGAUUGUGCAUUCAUGUAGUAAUGCAUUUAAAAAUGAGUCUAAAUUGCAAAUGUACUGAUGAAAGCUUGCAUUGAAUUUAGAGAACUUAAUAAUCAUAAUAACCUAGGAUGUCAAUAUAGUGUCUAGAACUUGCAUAGUCAUUGUUAGAGAUAUAAAUCUACUUGUCUUGACUUAGGCUGUUCUGAUUGUUGCUAUGCCAUAGUUAAAUCCAUCAGUGAUGUCUUACAAGCAUUUAGAAGUAUGUCUAAGCUACUUGAAUCAUUGGCUGUGAUAGAACUAGUGAGCAUAAGCAUGAAUUGAGUCAAACUUAUUGCCUUGAUUGCAUAAGUAUCAUCUAGUCUUGUGUUCAUUUGAAGUGAAUCUGUUUCAUUCAUAGUUAGUGUGUAACCUAAUGCAUUCAUCUAUUGUUGCAUUUAAAAAAAAAAACAAAACAAACUGAAUUGAACCUAAAAA